UGGGUUUAAAACGUCGUGAGACAGUUUGGUCCUUAUCUGUUGCGGGCGCAGGAUAUUUGAGGAGAUCUUUCCCUAGUACGAGAGGACCGGGAUGGACGAACCUAUGGUGUACCAGUUGUUCCGCCAGGAGCAUCGCUGGGUAGCUAUGUUCGGCAGGGAUAACCGCUGAAAGCAUCUAAGCGGGAAGCCUACUUCAAGAUAAGAUAUCCCAUGGCGUAAAGUCAUCUGAAGGCUCGUGGUAGACCACCACGUCGAUAGGUCGGGUGUGGAAGUGCAGUAAUGCAUGCAGCUUACCGAUACUAAUCAGCCGUGCGGCUUAUCCAU
rnacentral:ncRNA from 1 species